UGUGCGCCUGCCCUCUCGGUGUCGGAGAGACGCCCUUCCACCUCUGGGAACUUCGGUCUGUGGGGGUCGCGGAGUUCGGGCGCGGCUCCGGGUACCCGAGACCAGCGGCGGCAACGUCUAACACGGGAGAUUUCCCGCCCCCCCACCCCGCCGCCGCGAGUUCCCGCGGGGCGUGUAGCGUGCGGAGAAUCGACGGGAUUUCUCUGGCUGUCGUUUGCGCUGCAUUUAUCCGAAUAAAUCCAGCUCGCAAGCAUCCUGCAAGAAACGGCUCCCGGCUCGCGUGUACACCGACACCUCGGCCCAACGCAGGACUCGAGGUGGCUUCUAGUGCCCGGGUGGCUGCAAGUCUGGCCUCCGAAGGAGGCUGGACAAGCGGCGCCCCCAGGUCGAGCGGCCUCUCGUUGCCUGGCAGUGCCUGGCAGCCCCCCCUCUGCCGGUGCUUCAGCAACCCUCCUGGCCAGGUUCGCCCGCGGUGAAAAAUGAAAGCAAAUUCCCCAACAAAGGUAGCCGGAACUUUCCUCGACGAAGGCUCCCUCCUGCGCCUGUGUCUCGGAGAACCCCCAGAGGGCUGCAAGUUAGCAAGAGAGAUUCGAUGACGGCUCUGGAAGGCGCGCGAAGGGUGGGGCGG
rnacentral:antisense_RNA from 1 species